rnacentral:rRNA from 1 species
UACGUAGGGGGCGAGCGUUAUCCGGAUUUAUUGGGUUUAAAGGGUGCGCAGGCGGGAGAUUAAGUCGGCGGUGAAAUUUUGCAGCUCAACUGUAAAAGUGCCUUCGAUACUGGUUUCCUUGAGUGUGGAUGAAGUAGGCGGAAUUUGUGGUGUAGCGGUGAAAUGCUUAGAUAUCACGAGGAACUCCGAUUGCGCAGGCAGCUUACUAAACCACUACUGACGCUCAGGCACGAAGGCGUGGGGAUCAAACAGGAUUAGAUACC